GGACUACUGGGGUAUCUAAUCCCGUUUGCUCCCCUGGCUUUCGCGCCUCAGUGUCAGAAGAGGUCCAGCGGAUCGCUUUCGCCACCGGCGUUCCUUCCGAUAUCAACACAUUUCACCGCUCCACCGGAAGUUCCAUCCGCCCCUACCUCCCUCCAGCUUGCCAGUAUCGAAGCCACUUUUCCGGUUGAGCCGAAAGAUUUCAACCCCGACUUGGCAAACCACCUACGCGCCCUUUAAGCCCAGUGAUUCCGAACAACGUUCGCACGGUUCGUCUUACCGCGGCUGCUGGCAC
rnacentral:rRNA from 3 species